rnacentral:rRNA from 1 species
UACGUAGGGGGCUAGCGUUGUCCGGAAUCAUUGGGCGUAAAGCGCGUGUAGGCGGCUCGGUAAGUCCGCUCUGAAAGCCCGGGGCUCAACCCCGGGAGGCGGGUGGAUACUGUCGAGCUCGAGUCCGGAAGAGGCAAGUGGAAUUCCCGGUGUAGCGGUGAAAUGCGCAGAUAUCGGGAGGAACACCAAUGGCGAAGGCAGCUCGCUGGGACGUUACUGACGCUGAGACGCGAAAGCGUGGGGAGCAAACAGGG